rnacentral:rRNA from 1 species
GACGAACGCUGGCGGCGUGCCUAACACAUGCAAGUCGAGCGAGGGACUUCGGUCCCUAGCGGCGGACGGGUGAGUAACACGUGGGUAACCUGCCUCAUAGUGGGGGAUAGCCUUCCGAAAGGAAGAUUAAUACCGCAUAUACUCUCGAUACCGCAUGGUAUUUAGAGGAAAGGAGCAAUCCGCUAUGAGAUGGACCCGCGGCGCAUUAGCUAGUUGGUGAGGUAAUGGCUCACCAAGGCGACGAUGCGUAGCCGACCUGAGAGGGUGAUCGGCCACAUUGGAACUGAGACACGGUCCAGACUCCUACGGGAGGCAGCAGUGGGGAAUAUUGCACAAUGGGCGAAAGCCUGAUGCAGCAACGCCGCGUGAGUGAUGAAGGCCUUCGGGUUGUAAAGCUCUGUCUUUUGGGACGAUAAUGACGGUACCAAAGGAGGGAGCCACGGCUAACUACGUGCCAGCAGCCGCCGUAAUAC